AACGAACGCUGGCGGCAUGCCUAACACAUGCAAGUCGAACGAGACCUUCGGGUCUAGUGGCGCACGGGUGCGUAACGCGUGGGAAUCUACCCUUGGGUUCGGAAUAACUCAGAGAAAUCUGAGCUAAUACCGGAUGAUGUCGCAAGACCAAAGAUUUAUCGCCCAAGGAUGAGCCCGCGUAGGAUUAGCUUGUUGGUGAGGUAAAAAGCUCACCAAGGCGACGAUCCUUAGCUGGUCUGAGAGGAUGAUCAGCCACACUGGGACUGAGACACGGCCCAGACUCCUACGGGAGGCAGCAGUGGGGAAUAUUGGACAAUGGGCGAAAGCCUGAUCCAGCAAUGCCGCGUGAGUGAUGAAGGCCUUAGGGUUGUUAAAGGGCUCUUUUUACCCGGGGAAUGAUAAUGACAGUACCGGAGAAUAAGCCCCGGCUAACUCCGUGCCAGCAGCCGCGGUAAU
rnacentral:rRNA from 1 species